rnacentral:rRNA from 1 species
UACGUAGGGGGCGAGCGUUGUCCGGAGUUACUGGGCGUAAAGGGCAUGCAGGCGGUCGGACGCGUUUCGGGUGACAGCGGGUGGCUUAACUACCCGAGUGGUCGAAAGACGGUUUGACUUGAGGACGCGAGAGGGACACGGAAUUCCGGGUGGAGUGGUGAAAUGCGUAGAGAUCCGGAGGAACACCGAAGGCGAAGGCAGUGUCCUGGCGCGUAACUGACGCUGAGGUGCGAAAGCCAAGGGAGCGAACGGG